ACUACAGGAUUUUGACGCACUACCGCGACAAGGGGAGGGCGGGGACUCCGGGAAGAGAAUUUUGGAAGGUUCUCAAAGGUUCUGGAACAUGGUUCCGUUAAAUCCCUGGAAGGCGACCUCAGAUGAUUGCUGGCAGCAAUGAUACGCCUGACGUUUUUCCCUGGGUUUCUGAGCGGACACAUGCAUAUGGAUGUAUUGGACUGACAAGAGCAGAAUAUAACAUCACUUUUCACACCGUUUCAUAAUGAUUUAUUUCCAUGCCUGACUUGCACAUUUCACAGUGAGUGUUUUGUCUUCGACUCUAUGGAGCAGAUAACUUCAGGACCUUGAGGAGAAUCUGAAUGUGUUCCGCAGGAGUAAAGAAUGUGUCCAAGGUAGUUGUGAGCAGCUGCUGAGGCCCAGGAGUCUGAUGUGAAAAAGUGUUGACUACGGCUAAGGGAAUACACCUCUCUCUCAGUUCCCAGGAACUCUUCCUCCCCCUUCUCCCUAGCUGCAUGAAAACUCCCUACUUUUGCUUUUUGGAGAGACAGAUUUGAGAGAUCUUGCUCUCCUAUUCUCUCACUUUGGUGAAAUCAAAUAAACCUUUCUCUGUCUACAAGCA